rnacentral:rRNA from 1 species
GCUUGUCUCAAAGAUUAAGCCAUGCAUGUCUAAGUGUAAAUAAGUCUAUACUGUGAAACUGCGAAUGGCUCAUUAAAUCACUUAUCGUUUAUUUGAUGAUCUCUUACUACUUGGAUAACCGUAGUAAUUCUAGAGCUAAUACAUGCACAAAAUCCCGACUUACGAAGGGAUGUAUUUAUUAGAUACAAACCAACAUCGUGGUGAUUCAUAAUAACUUUGCGAAUCGUAUGCCUCACGGCGACGAUGAAUCAUUCAAAUUUCUGCCCUAUCAACUUGGCUACCACAUCCAAGGAA